UCUUUCCCUAGCACGCCGCUCUUCCAUCCUGAUCGCUUACCUGGCAUAUUAUUCAUUGAUGGCAAGUUGGGAGAGCGAGCUGGAGGGGAGUCGUCAUCGGAGCUGGCCACAGUCUUGAUGGCGUCGUGGUAUAAAGGAGUAG